GUCUGCGCCAGGAGGCGGGAUAAUGACCCUUAUUUUCUGAGAGGCUCAAAGCGCUUGCGCCAACCACUUCUCCCACCUUCUUUGUGCGGAAAGAAGGGCUCCGCGCGUGCGCGACGGGUAGUGGGCCUGUAGAGUCCCGCUAAGGGGCGCCAGAGGCGUCAGGAUCGCUGGUGAAUCACACACAGUACGCCGCUCCUCACCAGCUUCUACUUCAGACACUUAAACUUCCAAGAUAGCUUCCUUUUACGGAAGGAUGGAUCAGUUUGACACCUGCUGAUUAAUCUUAACAUCACAGAAGGACAACCAGACAUGACAUGCC